CCCACCCUUGAAAGGGUGGGCUAUUUUCGGCCGUCCCUGGCGGGACU
rfam:Planctomyces sp. SH-PL14, complete genome.